rnacentral:rRNA from 1 species
AACGAACGCUGGCGGCAGGCCUAACACAUGCAAGUCGAGCGAGAUCUUCGGGUCUAGCGGCGGACGGGUGAGUAACGCGUGGGAAUAUGCCUCUUGGUACGGAAUAGCCUCGGGAAACUGGGAGUAAUACCGUAUGUGCCCUUUGGGGGAAAGAUUUAUCGCCAAGAGAUUAGCCCGCGUUGGAUUAGGUAGUUGGUGGGGUAAUGGCCUACCAAGCCGACGAUCCAUAGCUGGUUUGAGAGGAUGAUCAGCCACACUGGGACUGAGACACGGCCCAGACUCCUACGGGAGGCAGCAGGGGGGAAUUUAAAACAAUGGGGGCAACCCUGUUCUACCCAGGCCGGGGGAGUGAUGAAGGCCUUGGGGUUGUAAAGCUCUUUCAGCUGGGAAGAUAAUGACGGGACCAGCAAAAGAAACCCCGGCUAACCGCGG